rnacentral:lncRNA from 1 species
AUAGAAUAGUCAAUUUAGGAGGAUGGAUAGUUGAUUUAGUUAUUAAAAGUAGUUUAUUAUAAGAUUAAGAUUAGGAUCUAGAAAUCAGUAGCAAUGAUAUAGGAGUUGUAGAAGUUUGUUGGAGUACCACAUUGUGAUAGUCAUGAGUCGGGGUUAAGCUUGGUGCUACCUCUUUGUUUUCUUUGUUUUCUUUGUUGUUGAAGAAUAAUAGAUAG